AUACCGUUGGAAUCUUAAAAGAACUCAGGUUAAUUGUUGUUAACCAAAGGAACAACAUACUAACUCAGUUUCAACCUUUUUUCCCUUUAAUUGCACAGAGACCUUUGAAGAUACUGUAUAAGUAAAGUAUUCAACGCAACUACUCGCGCAGAAAUAAAAUUAAAAAUAAAAAUCUAACCAAAAACCAGACACACACCCAAAACCACAAAAGCAAUGAAAAAGAAAAAGGGUCAAUUCAGAAGUUCG
rnacentral:misc_RNA from 1 species